rnacentral:rRNA from 1 species
UUUCGAAAAUGAAUCAAAACUUUCAACAACGGAUCUCUUGGUUCUGGCAUCGAUGAAGAACGCAGCGAAAUGCGAUAAGUAAUGUGAAUUGCAGAAUUCAGUGAAUCAUCGAAUCUUUGAACGCACAUUGCGCCCGCCAGUAUUCUGGCGGGCAUGCC